GGGUUGUGAGGUUAAGCGACUAAGCGUACACGGUGGAUGCCCUGGCAGUCAGAGGCGAUGAAGGGCGUGCUAAUCUGCGAUAAGCGCCGGUAAGGUGAUAUGAACCGUUAUAACCGGCGAUACCCGAAUGGGGAAACCCAGUGUGAUUCGUCACACUAUCAUUAACUGAAUCCAUAGGUUAAUGAGGCGAACCGGGGGAACUGAAACAUCUAAGUACCCCGAGGAAAAGAAAUCAACCGAGAUUCCCCCAGUAGCGGCGAGCGAACGGGGAGGAGCCCAGAGCCUGAAUCAGCAUGUGUGUUAGUGGAAGCGUCUGGAAAGGCGCGCGAUACAGGGUGACAGCCCCGUACACAAAAGCGCAUGUGCUGUGAGCUCGAUGAGUAGGGCGGGACACGUGGUAUCCUGUCUGAAUAUGGGGGGACCAUCCUCCAAGGCUAAAUACUCCUGACUGACCGAUAGUGAACCAGUACCGUGAGGGAAAGGCGAAAAGAACCCCGGCGAGGGGAGUGAAAAAGAACCUGAAACCGUGUACGUACAAGCAGUGGGAGCACCCUUCGGGGUGUGACUGCGUACCUUUUGUAUAAUGGGUCAGCGACUUAUAUUCUGUAGCAAGGUUAACCGUAUAGGGGAGCCGGAGGGAAACCGAGUCUUAACCGGGCGUUAAGUUGCAGGGUAUAGACCCGAAACCCGGUGAUCUAGCCAUGGGCAGGUUGAAGGUUGGGUAACACUAACUGGAGGACCGAACCGACUAAUGUUGAAAAAUUAGCGGAUGACCUGUGGCUGGGGGUGAAAGGCCAAUCAAACCGGGAGAUAGCUGGUUCUCCCCGAAAGCUAUUUAGGUAGCGCCUCGUGAAUUCAUCUCCGGGGGUAGAGCACUGUUUCGGCUAGGGGGCCAUCCCGGCUUACCAACCCGAUGCAAACUGCGAAUACCGGAGAAUGUUAUCACGGGAGACACACGGCGGGUGCUAACGUCCGUCGUGAAGAGGGAAACAACCCAGACCGCCAGCUAAGGUCCCAAAGUCAUGGUUAAGUGGGAAACGAUGUGGGAAGGCCCAGACAGCCAGGAUGUUGGCUUAGAAGCAGCCAUCAUUUAAAGAAAGCGUAAUAGCUCACUGGUCGAGUCGGCCUGCGCGGAAGAUGUAACGGGGCUAAACCAUGCACCGAAGCUGCGGCAGCGAACGUAUCACCCAAGACAACUUUACGGAGUUGACGAUUGACGGAGCGAAGCGACGUCAAAGCGUUCAUUAAAGUCGAGUUGGCUUAGGGAUACGUUCGUUGGGUAGGGGAGCGUUCUGUAAGCCUGUGAAGGUGUGUCGUGAGGCAUGCUGGAGGUAUCAGAAGUGCGAAUGCUGACAUAAGUAACGAUAAAGCGGGUGAAAAGCCCGCUCGCCGGAAGACCAAGGGUUCCUGUCCAACGUUAAUCGGGGCAGGGUGAGUCGACCCCUAAGGCGAGGCCGAAAGGCGUAGUCGAUGGGAAACGGGUUAAUAUUCCCGUACUUGGUGUUACUGCGAAGGGGGGACGGAGAAGGCUAUGUUGGCCGGGCGACGGUUGUCCCGGUUUAAGCGUGUAGGUGUGUGUUCCAGGUAAAUCCGGUUCACUUUAACACUGAGGCGUGACGACGAGGCACUACGGUGCUGAAGCAACAAAUGCCCUGCUUCCAGGAAAAGCCUCUAAGCAUCAGGUAACACGAAAUCGUACCCCAAACCGACACAGGUGGUCAGGUAGAGAAUACCAAGGCGCUUGAGAGAACUCGGGUGAAGGAACUAGGCAAAAUGGUGCCGUAACUUCGGGAGAAGGCACGCUGACACGUAGGUGAAGUGAUUUACUCAUGGAGCUGAAGUCAGUCGAAGAUACCAGCUGGCUGCAACUGUUUAUUAAAAACACAGCACUGUGCAAACACGAAAGUGGACGUAUACGGUGUGACGCCUGCCCGGUGCCGGAAGGUUAAUUGAUGGGGUCAGCGUAAGCGAAGCUCCUGAUCGAAGCCCCGGUAAACGGCGGCCGUAACUAUAACGGUCCUAAGGUAGCGAAAUUCCUUGUCGGGUAAGUUCCGACCUGCACGAAUGGCGUAAUGAUGGCCAGGCUGUCUCCACCCGAGACUCAGUGAAAUUGAACUCGCUGUGAAGAUGCAGUGUACCCGCGGCAAGACGGAAAGACCCCGUGAACCUUUACUAUAGCUUGACACUGAACAUUGAGCCUUGAUGUGUAGGAUAGGUGGGAGGCUUUGAAGUGUGGACGCCAGUCUGCAUGGAGCCGACCUUGAAAUACCACCCUUUAAUGUUUGAUGUUCUAACGUGGACCCGUAAUCCGGGUUGCGGACAGUGUCUGGUGGGUAGUUUGACUGGGGCGGUCUCCUCCUAAAGAGUAACGGAGGAGCACGAAGGUUGGCUAAUCCUGGUCGGACAUCAGGAGGUUAGUGCAAUGGCAUAAGCCAGCUUGACUGCGAGCGUGACGGCGCGAGCAGGUGCGAAAGCAGGUCAUAGUGAUCCGGUGGUUCUGAAUGGAAGGGCCAUCGCUCAACGGAUAAAAGGUACUCCGGGGAUAACAGGCUGAUACCGCCCAAGAGUUCAUAUCGACGGCGGUGUUUGGCACCUCGAUGUCGGCUCAUCACAUCCUGGGGCUGAAGUAGGUCCCAAGGGUAUGGCUGUUCGCCAUUUAAAGUGGUACGCGAGCUGGGUUUAGAACGUCGUGAGACAGUUCGGUCCCUAUCUGCCGUGGGCGCUGGAGAACUGAGGGGGGCUGCUCCUAGUACGAGAGGACCGGAGUGGACGCAUCACUGGUGUUCGGGUUGUCAUGCCAAUGGCACUGCCCGGUAGCUAAAUGCGGAAGAGAUAAGUGCUGAAAGCAUCUAAGCACGAAACUUGCCCCGAGAUGAGUUCUCCCUGAGACUUAGAGUCUCCUGAAGGAACGUUGAAGACGACGACGUUGAUAGGCCGGGUGUGUAAGCGCAGCGAUGCGUUGAGCUAACCGGUACUAAUGAACCGUGAGGCUUAACCUUACAACGCCGAAG
rnacentral:rRNA from 3 species